rnacentral:lncRNA from 9 species
GGUGGUCUGAAAACAGGCUGCUCUUUCACCCCUCCUUUUCACGGAGCACCUGCUCUCUGUUGACGUCUGCAGCACCCCGAGAUGUCUGACGGGCCGAGACAGUUUACCGUGAGGUCCAAAUCUGGGGUGAGCCAGGUUGCCUGGAAGAGUUCGUUGCCAUCUCCAACCCCCCACACCUGAGGGAGCCCUAAGAAUCAGGCUGUUGGAGGGCAGCUCUCCUACACGGACCAGGCGCUCACAGUCCUAGGUCAGCAAGCCAACAAUGGGAGAACCCGUCCCUCCUAUGACAUCGUCCCCAGUAGAAGUUCGCAAGCACCAGGGCUUUGGGACAUCACAUGUGGAGAACAAGGCUUGCCAUGUGGCAUGUCACAGAACACAGGAUCAUCAAAUCCAGUGUCACUGUCAGCAGAAAGCCCAGAUGGAGAGGAGCUCUGUACAAACAGGCUUUGAAAACCCGACAGACAUUUCAAGUCCUGAUGGCCUCUCCCUUGCUAAGUACGUUGCUUUAAGCUUAACUAACCUUAGAGGGGUGUUUCCUUAUCUGUAAACGGUGAUAAUGUUAGUACUUAGCUCAGUAAUUGUUAUGGGAUUAAAUGGAAUAAUAAAUGUAAAGCACUCAGCCCAUGCCUGGCACGUCCCUGCUGAAGGUUCCUGGCUAAUGGUAUUAUUCUUUUCCCUGCCUGUUGGCUACGCAGACAUUGUGUUAGAGCCUGGGCAAAGUUCCAUCACACACGUAUACACGUGUGGGUCCUUACAGACUCACACAGGGGAUCCUACUGCACACCCUACUUACAGUCUCAGUAAUUAUCCCACGCCCAGACCUACGCGAACUUCAUACACCUUAGAGUUCAUGCCCAGACAGUACAGAAGCUGCUAUGGAAAGGUUGGAAGAAGGGGUCUUAGGCAGACAAAUGCUCUCUCCAGUCCAAAAGGAGACGCGCGCAAAAAUGAAAGUGUCUUUAUUACUGCAUAUGCUGGAGCACACAAGAAGCCAGCUCAGGUGACAAGGAGCUGGUCACAUGCAACCAAUCAUCCUGAUUGUCUCUACAGAGACGCCCAGGGUGGGAGGCACUGGCACCGAGAUCAUGAGGGAAUUAUGAGACCCAUCGAGCCAUCGUUAGAGCCACUGUGGGGAACAGCUUCCCUGGCUGGAACCGGCUGGCACAGCCACUGGAACCCUCUUAAUGCCUGUUCCUCGGGAACGGGCCGGGUAAGAGCUGAAGUCUGGAGUAAAGCUGAGGGGUCCUGCUCCAGGGCUGGGGAUCUAGGGGCUCUGGCCUUGUCCACUCCUCACCCUGGGGAACAAAGACCAUAAUGACAACCUAACUUUACAGAACAAUAGAACUUUACAGAACUGAACAGUUGGACAGCACUUUACAGUUUAUAACCCUGUCUCUCAUUCAUUAUACCAUUUAAUUCUCAAGGAAUCCUGUGAGAUGCAGGUGACAUUGUCCCUCAUUAACCGAAAAAGAAACCGAAGUUCAAAUACUCUGAAAGAUGCAGCGCAGUAGAGAUGGCCCAUGGUGGGCCCCAAAUGCAGAGUGCUUCUGAGAGCCCAGUUCGACCUCAGCUUUGAUCCAGAGGCACAUCUAGUAUUUUCAUAUUACAAAUAGGUCAGGUUUUACCCACCAGAGUGUAUCCAUUAAUGAGCAAGUGCAUUGAGUUCCUAUGCCAGGUGGUGUGCAAAGAGCUGACAAAAGAAUGGUGAGUGAGCUGACUUAGUCCUCGAGUCAAUUAAAGAAAGCCUCAACUUCUUUGCAUGCCUGUCACUGAGAAGUGGGGUACAUUCGCCCUCCCUCAGAAUCUGGGUUGGCCUGUGACUGCUUCGACCAGUAGAGGACAGAACAAGUGCCUCUCUCCAGCAUAAGUCCAGUCUUUGAGGGUUUCCGCCUUGGUCGUUUGGCUCCCUGGCCACUCUUGCAUGAGUCCAGCCACCCUGAAGAAAGGACAUGUGAAGAGGGAGAGGGGCCCAGCAGAGCUCAGGCUUCCAGCCUUCUUGUCAAGGUACCAGACAUGUGAGUUCAGCCUUCUUGGACCCUCUGGACCAGUCUGGCUUCUACUGAGUGCCACUGAGAGGUCAGGAUCACCUAAGGCUGAAUAAAAUCCUUCCUGAAGUCCUGAUGCACAAAGUCAUGAGACCUAAGAAAAUGGUUGCUUUGACAAACCUUUUCUAUAAAGGACCAGAUAGUAAAUAUUUUAGGCUUUGUGGAGCCAUAUACCCUCUCUGGUCACAUAUCUUUUUUUUUUUUUUUUUUUUUUUUUUGCUUUUUAGGGCCACCCCUGCAGCAUACGGAGGUUCCCAAGCUAGGGGUCAAAUCAGAGCUAUAGCCAUGGGUCUACACCACAACCACGGCAAAUCACGUCCAAGUCACAUCUGCAAUCUACGCCACAGCUCAUGGCAACACCAGAUCCUUAACCGACUGAGAGAAUGCUAAUCAGAUUCAUUUCUGUUGAGCCGCAACGGGAACUCCACAUAUUGUUCUUCUUUGAUGUAUAUCACAUAUCAUUCUUGUUUGAUAUUGAAAUGUGAUAUUUUCCACAUUUAAAAAUGUAAAAAAACGGAGUUCCCUGAGUUCCUGUCGUGGCGCAGUGGUUAACAAACCUGACUAGGAACCAUGAGAUUACAGGUUCGAUCCCUGGCCUUCCUCAGUGGGUUAAGGAUCCGGCGUUGCCAUGAGCUGUGGUGUAGGUUGCAGACGCGGCUUGGAUCCCAUGUUGCUGUGGCUGUGGUGUAGGCCGGCAUCUGUAGCUCCCAUUUGACCCCUAGCCUGGGAACCUCCAUAUGUCAUGAGUGCAGCUCUAAAAGGACCAAAGACCAAAAAAAAAAAAAAAAGUGAAAAAGGAGUUCCUGUCAUGGCUCAGUGGUUAACAAACCCAACUAGUAUCCAUGAGGACGUGGGUUAAAUCCCUGGCCAUGCUCAGUGGGUUCAGGAUCCGGCGUUGCCGUGAGCUGUGCUGUAGGUCAGAGAUAUGGCUCAGAUCUCGUUGCUGUGGCUGUGGUAUAGGCCGAUGGCUUCAGCUCCAAUUCAACCCCUAGCCUAGGAACCUCCAUAUGCUGUAGGUGUGGCCCUAAAAAGACAAAAAUAAAAAUAAAGUGAAAUAAAAAUGGGGAGUUCCCGUCGUGGCUCAGUGGUUAACGAAUCCGACUAGGAACCAUGAGGUUGCGGGUUCAAUCCCUGGCCUUGUUCAGUGGGUUAAGGAUCUGGUGUUGCCGUGAGCUGUGGUGUAGGUUGCAGAUGGGGCUUGGAUCCCACGUUGCUGUGGCUCUGGCGUAGGCCAGUGGCUACAGCUCCAAUUAGACCCCUAGCCUGGGAACCUCCAUAUGCCGUGGGAGAGGCCCUAGCAAAGGCAAAAAGCCAAAAAAAAUAAAUAAAUAAUAAAUAAAUAAAUAAAUAAAUAAAUAAAGUGAAAUAAAAAUGUAAAAAAAAGGAGUUCCCACUGUGGCACUGGGAUCAGUGGUGACUCUGCAGCGCCAGGACACAGAUUCAAUUGCCCAACUGGCACAGUGAGUU